rnacentral:rRNA from 1 species
UCGGAAUUACUGGGCGUAAAGGGCUCGUAGGCGGCCAACUAAGUCAGACGUGAAAUCCCUCGGCUUAACCGGGGAACUGCGUCUGAUACUGGUUGGCUUGAAUCCGGGAGAGGGAUGUGGAAUUCCAGGUGUAGCGGUGAAAUGCGUAGAUAUCUGGAGGAACACCGGUGGCGAAGGCGGCAUCCUGGACCGGUAUUGACGCUGAGGAGCGAAAGCCAGGGGAGCAAACGGG